rnacentral:RNase_P_RNA from 1 species
GCACCAUUCUUAAUUUGGACAGUUCCUAACAGGAACCAGGGGUAACCCUAGGGAAAGUGCCACAGAGACAAUACUACCCAUCCCCAGUUUUGAGUGGAAACCAGUUAACUAUUCGUCAUGCUGAAUUUAUUUCAGCAUCUCCAAGGGAGAGACCCUGAAACGAGCCUCCGGCCCGGUGGGCCUCAAGGCCCAGAGGGUUCAGGAUGACGGAUUGAGAUGAUUUCUGCUUAGAACUGGGGAUGGGGAAAGGUGAAAAGUUGCAAGGUGUGAUAUGUAGGAAGUUAGGUGUAAAUCUGAUAACUUACUCUAAGCUACUUGUAAGGCUUCCGUGCGAACGGAAUGUUCCGGUAAACCCUGUCCGGUGCAAGUUGGGUGGGUCAAUUUUUAUCAAUGUUUUAGAUUAAGAGCAGAUAGAAAAGGAUCCCAACGCAUGAUUCUGCUGGCAACAGCAGAGCUAGAUAGAUGACUAUCGCCCUGAUACUCCUUUCGUGGGAGAGCGGGGUACAGAACUCGGCUUAUAGCUAACAGACAGCA